rnacentral:misc_RNA from 1 species
UUUCCGUAGGUGAACCUGCGGAAGGAUCAUUAACCUUUCAAAAAACAGGGUGCGUCGCGGCCCCCCUCCGGGGGCGGUUUGGGGUCCUCCCCUUCACGCGCGCACGACUGCAUCCUUACUUUACGAGCACCUUCUGUUCUCCCUCGGCGGGGCAACCUGCCGUUGGAACCGAAUAAACCCUUUUUUGCAUCCAGCAUUACCCGUUCCGAAACAAACAAUCGUUACAACUUUCAACAAUGGAUCUCUUGGCUCUGGCAUCGAUGAAGAACGCAGC